GUUGGCCAGAUUAGCAGCCACAGCCUACAGAGAGAAGAGGUGAGCACAAGACAUCCUCACUAGAAGCAAGCAGUUGCUGCGGUUUCCCAAAGACUGGGUUUAUCCAUUUCUAGAGCCCUGGAGAAGAUUACAAAUCAUGAACUAUAUUAAGUUACAUGCCUUGUGUAUGGAGCAUCCACAUUUUAAAAGCCUAGAGAUACUGCCUUGGGAAAGCUGGAAAAGCAAACAGCAACUAUGACGACUGGAGAAGUUAAUCUUUCCUUUGCUGAAUCUUGUCCCCAAACUUCUAAUAAAAAUAAUUUAGGUUUUGGCCCUCAGAA